rnacentral:rRNA from 1 species
AUGAACGCUGGCGGCGUGCUUAACACAUGCAAGUCGAACGAGAAAUGGAGACGGAAACCUUCGGGCGGAAGGCUUCAUUUCGAGUGGCGGACGGGUGAGUAACGCGUGGGUAACCUGCCUCAUACAGGGGGAUAACAGUUGGAAACGACUGUUAAUACCGCAUAAGACCACAGCACCGCAUGGUGCGGGGGUAAAAACUCCGGUGGUAUGAGAUGGACCCGCGUUCGAUUAGCCAGUUGGCGGGGUAACGGCCCACCAAAGCGACGAUCGAUAGCCGAUCUGAGAGGAUGACCGGCCACAGUGGGACUGAGACACGGCCCAAACUCCUACGGGAGGCAGCAGUGGGGAAUAUUGCACAAUGGGGGAAACCCUGAUGCAGCGACGCCGCGUGAGUGAAGAAGUACUUCGGUAUGUAAGGCUCUAUCAGCAGGGAAGAAAAUGACGGUACCUGAGUAAGAAGCCCCGGCUAACUACGUG